GUUAAGUGCGUUCAUCAAACAUCAUGGCCGACAAAGACAUUACAUUUGUUGUCAGUAUUGAUGGAGAGGAGCAUCACAUCAUAGCAUCUGCAACCCUUGUAGAGGCCCUGAAUUCAGAUGACCAUUCAACCAGGCAACAUGCCUAUGAGUACAUUUUAUCUGUGCUGAGGCAAGG